rnacentral:rRNA from 1 species
UACGUAGGUGGCAAGCGUUGUCCGGAAUUACUGGGCGUAAAGGGCGUGUAGGCGGGGCGGCAAGUCAGAUGUGAAAUCCCAUGGCUUAACUGUGGAGCUGCAUCUGAAACUGUCGUUCUUGAGUGUCGGAGAGGAAAGUGGAAUUCCCAGUGUAGCGGUGAAAUGCGUAGAGAUUGGGAGGAACACCAGUGGCGAAGGCGGCUUACUGGGUCUCUUCUGACGCUGAGGCACGAAAGCUAAGGCAGCAAACGGG